AGCGAAUCAAAUUUUUAUUAUAGGAGUUGAGAGACUCGCAUGCUUACAUACCAUUGACUUGACCUUCAAAUAAAGAGGGCAGCUGCUCCAUGCUAGAUACACCUACAGCUUUUAUACCAGAAAUCUAGUUUUGAUAAUACGUAACCAUUACAUUUCUUAUAACAGGGAAUAUAUACAAGAUCUUAACCGAUUCAACAUAAGGACACCUAUAGUCUUUGCUAGUACAACAUGCUUCUGUUGCUGACAGAAUGUACAGCUUUCAAACUGAUGGCAUCCCAGUAACAAAUUCCUCAACCAUAAUUACUUUUUUCCAAGGCAAUACAUAUAACAAUAGCAUCAGUUUGUAAUCAAGUCAAGAACUCGUCCACCAUCUUUCUGUGUGUGGUUUUGUCAACUACCUACUAAUACAGAGAAGAUGAGGGACAAUUUCAGAACAACAAAGGAAGAUAUAGGCAAGAACAUAAUGAUUAGAAUAAGGUACAUUAGAGCCUAGCAAACAUCUAACAAAGUUUUGCCAAAAGAGGCAGAGAAUAGAGAUGCUCCAAAUAAUUACAAGUGAAUGAGUUCACUCACCUGAUCAAGAAGAUUGCAGUUGGGUCACCAGGAGAAGGAGGAUUCUGAUUCAGCAGUGACACAUAAGAACCAGCUUUAGCAAACGAAUCAGGGUCAGCCACAGACAAUACUUCCACCUCUUCAAGACCAAUUUG
rnacentral:misc_RNA from 1 species